CCUCCAAAUUAUGCAACUCAGGAGUUAAAAGGGGAAAAAAUAAAGUAUAAUCUUGUUCUGUCUGACUGGCAGCCUUUUGAGGAUCAGCUAUUUCACCCUAUAACUGUGAGGAUCAGAAGCAACCCAUCUUCUUUGGUUGAUUUGGAAAGGCAGGUUAAGUGCGGUGCUGAAGACUCCAGGACCUGAGGGAGGAAAGCAUCCCACAGGUGGCCCUGGCUGCGGAGGGCUGGUGCUGGCGAGGCUCGCUGGAGCAGGGGGAAGCACCAGGAGUCAGCCACGGUGCUCCCACAUAAGUCUGUGCACGGAAACGAGCAGCACCAAGCCGAACAAGGCCUCAUUUCAUCAGCUGAAACACUGCUGGGGUCAGCAACCCGUCAGCAGAGAGCUUGUGCUGAAGCGCUCUGCGCAGGGAUGGGUGUCAGCGGUGCUCUACCUGAAGAAGGCCCGGGCAGGCAUGAGGCCUGUGAGGUGAUGUUUUGCCACUGAAUUUACUGGCUGAAAAGCAGCUCCAAACAGUGUGCUGGAGUGUGGUGAACCAGUGUGAGAGGCUGUGAUGAAAAGAGGUGGUUGUGGGGGGACUUGUAGCAGAUUUUGCCUUGCCAAAAGCAGCGUGCUCCACACCAAGCCCCACAACUCUGGGGCUUCCUCUCCACUGGUACCCACUGCGAGCCAGCUCUGAGCUGGUACUUGCUGGAGUCCUCCCUCUCCUGGUCCGUCUGCAUCUGGCAGUCCAGGUGACAGUCUGCAGCGAGGCCUGCCGUGCCCACGCAGCCUGGGCAGGCUCACAAUUAGCAGGUAAUUUGCUGAGGGAGGCCUGCGGGGAGGCUGGAGGCAGCGCUUGCUGCAGGCACCCGCUGGUUGGUUUGUGCCUGCUCCGUCCGUGUUUCAGACGCGAGAUGUGAGCCCCGUGCAUGUCCUUGUUGGAAAUGACAUGUGCUGUAAUUCCUGUGGCAAAAAAACGUGCUUGUGAAUGUGUUGCUCAGAAAAAGGGGUGAGUUCAGAUGACGGCUUUCAGAAAUCCUGCCUGCCUACUUGUACAACCACUUCUAUCUAUGUGGAAGUGCAGCUUCUGUGAGCACCCCAAAUUUGAGCUGAAUUUGGUAAAGUGUUUUCAGCUGAGGUAAAAUUUUAAUAUUCAAUACUUCAUUUCAGAUGUACAAAGCAGUUUUAAAUGACUUUUUUUGACCAAAUUUCCCUGGAACUAAUCCUUUCUCUUGGAUUUGAAAUACUUUAGACUGACACUUGGAUGCUUUGAUACAGGAAAAGAUUUAUUUUUAUUUUUUUAGCUGGGGCCAGCUCGAAGCCCUUUUGAGAAGGAAUUGGACUUGUUUGGUGGUAAAGGGUUUGUACGGUGUGCCUGCAUGGUUCUUGGGUGCCAGUGGUCACCAUCUUCCCAUUCAGCAGCAGUGGCCAUGCAGUCAAGGAAAAGAAACUACACAGUGUGACCCACUGCAGAACAUGGAUAACUAGUA
rnacentral:lncRNA from 1 species